rnacentral:rRNA from 1 species
CGCGUGGGUAAUCUGCCCUUCGGUCUGGGAUAACCUCGGGAAACUGGGGCUAAUACCGGAUAAGACCACGACGUCUUCGGGCGAUGUGGAAAAGAUGGCCUCUUCUUGAAAGCUAUCACCGAUUGAUGAGCCCGCGUUCCAUUAGCUUGUUGGUGAGGUAACGGCUCACCAAGGCUCCGAUGGAUAGCUGGUCUGAGAGGAUGAUCAGCCACACUGGAACUGAGACACGGUCCAGACUCCUACGGGAGGCAGCAGUCGGGAAUUUUGGGCAAUGGGGGCAACCCUGACCCAGCAACGCCG